rnacentral:tRNA from 4 species
GCGCCCGUAGCUCAACUGGAUAGAGCAUCUGACUACGAAUCAGAAGGCUAGGAGUUCGAAUCUCUUCGGGCGCGCCA